rnacentral:rRNA from 1 species
GACGAACGCUGGCGGCGUGCUUAACACAUGCAAGUCGAGCGGUAAGGCCUUUCGGGGUACACGAGCGGCGAACGGGUGAGUAACACGUGGGUGAUCUGCCCUGCACUUCGGGAUAAGCCUGGGAAACUGGGUCUAAUACCGGAUAUGACCUCCUAUCGCAUGGCGGGUGGUGGAAAGAUUUAUCGGUGCAGGAUGGGCCCGCGGCCUAUCAGCUUGUUGGUGGGGUAAUGGCCUACCAAGGCGACGACGGGUAGCCGACCUGAGAGGGUGACCGGCCACACUGGGACUGAGACACGGCCCAGACUCCUACGGGAGGCAGCAGUGGGGAAUAUUGCACAAUGGGCGAAAGCCUGAUGCAGCGACGCCGCGUGAGGGAUGACGGCCUUCGGGUUGUAAACCUCUUUCAGCAGGGACGAAGCGCAAGUGACGGUACCUGCAGAAGAAGCACCGGCUAACUACGUG